CCUACGGGUGGCAGCAGUGGGGGAUAUUGCACAAUGGGGGAAACCCUGAUGCAGCGACGCCGCGUGAGUGAAGAAGUAUCUCGGUAUGUAAAGCUCUUUCAGCAGGGAAGAAAAUGACCGUACCUGACUAAGAAGCCCCGGCUAACUAAGUGCCAGCAGCCGCGGUAAUAAGUAGGGGGCAAGCGUUAUCCGGAUUUACUGGGGGUAAAGGGAGCGUAGACGGCCCUGCAAGUCCGGAGUGAAAGCCCAGGGCUGAACCCUGGUACUGCUCUGGACACCGUGGGGCUUGAGUGCGGGAGGGGUAGGCGGAAUUCCUAGUGUAGCGGUGAAAUGCGUAGAUAUUAGGAGGAACACCGGCGGCGAAGGCGGCCUGCUGGACCGUAACUGACGUUGAGGCUCGAAAGCGUGGGGAGCAAACAGGAUUAGAUACCCUGGUAGUC
rnacentral:rRNA from 1 species